rnacentral:rRNA from 2 species
UUGCCGGUGACUAUAGCGGUAGUGAAACACCCGUUCCCAUUCCGAACACGGAAGUUAAGCCUACCAGCGCCGAUGGUACUGCGGGGCUUCCCCCGUGGGAGAGUAGGUCGUCGCCGGCAUU